rnacentral:rRNA from 1 species
UUUCUUUGAUGAAGUUUCGGCAGAUUCGUUGAAAGAAUAGUGGCGAACGGGUGAGCAAUGCAUGAGCAAUCUGCCCUAAAGACCGGGAUAAGCUUUCGAAAGGAAGUUUAAUACCGGAUAAUAAGAUCAGAUCGCAUGAUUUGAUUUUCAAAGGUAGCUUUUUAAGCCUCUGCUUUUGGAUGAGCUCAUGUCCUAUCAGCUAGCUGGUGAGAUAAAGGCUCACCAAAGCUAAGACGGGUAGCCGGUCUGAGAGGACGGUCGGCCACACUGGGACUGAGACACGGCCCAGACUCCUACGGGAGGCAGCAGUAGGGAAUCUUGCGCAAUGGGCGAAAGCCUGACGCAGCGACACCGCGUGGAGGAUGAAGGUUUUCGAAUCGUAAACUCCUGUCAAUAGAGGAAGAAGGUAUUAUAGGUGAAUAGCUUAUAAUAUUGACGGUACUCUGUAAGGAAGCCCCGGCUAACUACGUGCCAGCAGCCGCGGUAAUACGUAGGGGGCAAGCGUUUUCCGGAUUUAUUGGGCGUAAAGCGCACGCAGGUGGCUUUUUAAGUCGGAUGUGAAAUCUCUUAGCAAAACUAAGAAAUUGCAUCCGAAACUGGAUUGCUUGAGGUCGGGAGAGGAGAGUGGGAUUCUCGGUGUAGCGGUGAAAUGCGCAGAUAUCGAGAAGAACACCAUUAGCGAAGGCGGCUCUCUGGAACGAUACUGACACUAAGGUGCGAAAGCUAGGGUAGCAAGCAGGAUUAGAUACCCUGGUAGUCCUAGCUGUAAACGAUGGGCACUGGAUGUAGGGAGAUAUCGACUCUUCCUGUGUCGUAGCUAACGCGUUAAGUGCCCCGCCUGGGGAGUACGACCGCAAGGUUAAAACUCAAAUGAAUUGACGG